rnacentral:rRNA from 1 species
AGUGAACGCUGGCGGUAGGCCUAACACAUGCAAGUCGAACGGCAGCACAGUAAGAGCUUGCUCUUACGGGUGGCGAGUGGCGGACGGGUGAGGAAUACAUCGGAAUCUACUUUUUCGUGGGGGAUAACGUAGGGAAACUUACGCUAAUACCGCAUACGACCUACGGGUGAAAGCAGGGGAUCUUCGGACCUUGCGCGAUUGAAUGAGCCGAUGUCGGCUUAGCUAGUUGGCGGGGUAAAGGCCCACCAAGGCGACGAUCCGUAGCUGGUCUGAGAGGAUGAUCAGCCACACUGGAACUGAGACACGGUCCAGACUCCUACGGGAGGCAGCAGUGGGGAAUAUUGGACAAUGGGCGCAAGCCUGAUCCAGCCAUACCGCGUAGGUGAAGAAGGCCUUCGGGUUGUAAAGCCCUUUUGUUGGGAAAGAAAAGCAGCAGGUUAAUACCCCGCUGUUCUGACGGUACCCAAAGAAUAAGCACCGGCUAACUUCGU